GACGAACGCUGGCGGCGUGCUUAACACAUGCAAGUCGAACGGAAAGGCCCUGCUUUUGUGGGGUGCUCGAGUGGCGAACGGGUGAGUAACACGUGAGUAACCUGCCCUUGACUUUGGGAUAACUUCAGGAAACUGGGGCUAAUACCGGAUAGGAGCUCCUGCUGCAUGGUGGGGGUUGGAACGUUUCGGCGGUUGGGGAUGGACUCGCGGCUUAUCAGCUUGUUGGUGGGGUAGUGGCUUACCAAGGCUUUGACGGGUAGCCGGCCUGAGAGGGUGACCGGCCACAUUGGGAGUGAGAUACGGCCCAGAAUCCUACGGGAGGCAGAAGUGGGGAAUAUUGCACAAUGGGCGGAAGCCUGAUGCAGCAACGCCGCGUGCGGGAUGACGGCCUUCGGGUUGUAAACCGCUUUCGCCUGUGACGAAGCGUGAGUGACGGUAAUGGGUAAAGAAGCACCGGAUAACUACGUG
rnacentral:rRNA from 1 species